ACAUGACUGGCUUAAUCAGUAGAGCAUGUGAUUCUUGAUCUCAAGGUUGUGAGUUCAAGCCCCACAUUGGGUG
rnacentral:tRNA from 1 species